GAUGAACGCUGGCUACAGGCUUAACACAUGCAAGUCGAGGGGAAACGACGGGGAAGCUUGCUUCCCCGGGCGUCGACCGGCGCACGGGUGAGUAACGCGUAUCCAACCUGCCUCUGACUGAGGGAUAACCCGUCGAAAGUCGGCCUAAUACCUCAUGGCAUCGUCUGCGGGCAUCCAACGACGAUUAAAGAUUUCAUCGGUCAGGGAUGGGGAUGCGUCUGAUUAGCUGGUUGGCGGGGUAACGGCCCUCCAAGGCUACGAUCAGUAGGGGUUCUGAGAGGAAGGUCCCCCACAUUGGAACUGAGACACGGUCCAAACUCCUACGGGAGGCAGCAGUGAGGAAUAUUGGUCAAUGGGCGAGAGCCUGAACCAGCCAAGUAGCGUGCAGGAUGACGGCCCUAUGGGUUGUAAACUGCUUUUAUGCGGGGAUAAAGUGAGGGACGUGUCCUUCAUUGCAGGUACC
rnacentral:rRNA from 1 species